rnacentral:rRNA from 1 species
GUCUACGACCAUGCCACCCUGAACAUGCCUGAUCUCGUCUUAUCUCGGAAGCUAAGCGGGGUCAGGCCUGGUUAGUACUUGGAUGGAAGACCAUGUAGGAAUACCAGGUGCUGAAGGCA